CAACCAAUUGAAUAUUGCUUCUGUUGUGGUCCGUGCUCACUUCCGUUCGUGCGUGUGUUACGAUUUCUUUAAAAAAAAACGAAAUUGAUUUUAUAUCACAAUUAUCAAUACAAUUCAGUUUGAUGAAGAUUGAUAUAACCCUUUAUUAAAAACUGUACUUACCAAAUAGUUUUUCCGUACUGGUUUCACGAGAGAAAAAACGGACACACACCGACGCGUCCUACCGCUUGCAAACUUGAUUUCACACUACCACAUUUUCAUGUGAACGCGAAGCAGCGCCUUCCUCGUGUGGCUAUACAGGUAUUCCCCGAUAUACGCCAUACUCGAUAUACACGAUUUCGCUAUACGCUUUUUUUUCUAAAUUUGACGGUUCUUUGAACAAGAAAUACUAAUUUUAGAAAUCGAAUGUCAAAUGCAAAAUAAAUUCCCUUUUGGUUGAAUAUUAAAAACCAUUUCAAAUGGUAUAAAAUUGAAAAAUUCAGUUGAAAUUAGAUCAAAUAACUAAUUUAGUGGCUAAAACCUACCACUUCAUGCAAAGUUAUACGGAUAUUAGUUAUAAUUUGACUGAAAACCUCGAAAUUCGACUUUCGCUAUUGAAUAUUCGAGAUACGCUAUUGCCUCCGGUACGCAUUGAUAGCGUAUAUCGGGGAGUACCUGUACAAUGAUACAAAGAGCGGGCGAGAGGAUAACGCUUGCGUGAAUGAUUGGUGUAGCAAGCGAAUUUGGACAAGUCCCAGAAAAGCGAGACGCAAGAGUUUCUCUCCAACGAUGGAAAGGGAUGAGCUAAAUGAAACAUGCGAAUCGUUGAUGCGACACAGCCAAGUCGUAAGCAAAUACAGACCAACACCCAGAAGAGCGAGGCAGAAUGAAAAAUUUUGUGAAUGUUAGAAUGAGAAAAAUGAUAGAUACACAUAAAAAUCGCGCGAUAAUGCUGGUUGGGUUUGCCUGUAUUUUCAAUGAGCCAAGCGAUUUUACCCCCUCCUACACGCGAUGUAUCCUAAAGCACGCUUGUCGCGGCAACGUUCACCACAUACACACACACAUCUCCACACUCAGGGUACGACAUCUUCCCUGUUGCUGUUCUGGACACAGACAAAAUUUGUGUUUCUACACUUAUUGUUCAAAAAAGUAGUAGCUCUUAGGAUCUGAAUUUACAAACAAAUAUCAAAAUUUUAUGUUCUGCUAAUGAUAUUGCACUGAAUUUAAUUGCACUACAUUAAGUUUUGACAUAUCUUUCGUAAAAGUUCAUCAGCGUAUGAAAAUGUCGAUACAAUUUGUCAUGAAUAACUUCAAUUUCAAGAUUUUCGCGCAUAAAAUUAUGACGCACGCUGUGUGUGUGCGGCGGCGUAAUUCGCUUCUCGUAUAGCCGUCUCGCUUCUUCUUGUGUGUGCUUUACCGUUGCUCAUCGCUUCAAGAACAUUGCUGCUCACACACACGUCAGUCUGUGGCAAACAAUUGGAGGGGGAGGAUGUGUCGGUUUGCUCCAGAAAUCGUGCGUGAUUUUGGUGUUCUGGAUUUGGUUCCAUGCCUGUUUGUUUUGGUGAAUUUGAAAAGGUAAGAAUCGUCAACCGAUGUAAAAGUGUGAGAGUAAGAUGAUGCUGAUGGUGACUGAUGCUUUUAUUUGUUUCUUUUCCUGCUUUCAUCCACUGAUGGUGUCAAGCAUCGCCGAGGAUGUGAUCGAAUGCGGAGUAUUCGAAACGAGGAGAUUCAUUCCGGAUUUUGUUUGCAAUAAGCGCUGAACUAAUCCUCCAGCUUACAGGACGGCAAAGGUACACGCACAAACGUGCACACAUCAGCCUUCUCGGAGAACGAGAACACGGGAGGGGGAGACCGGCAACGUAUAGAACCUUUACGCUCCCUCGUGCGUUCGUGCGUGCGUGCGCGCGCGCGUCUAUGUGUGUGUAUGUGUGUGCAUGCCUGCGUGCGUGGCUGUGUGUGUUUUUGCCGCUUCGCAUAACGAGAUCCUACGGGAUCACCUUGCGAAAAACACCAAGAGAGGGGGAGGG